rnacentral:lncRNA from 1 species
GAGAGAUGGAGGAGGAGAUGGCGGCGGCGACGAGGGAAAUAGGGAAACCCUAUCGGGCACGCACGCCGAUGCACUAAAUAGGCCGCGGAUGGGACGCACAGCGUUAGCUCUCUCUCGCUCUCUGAAGUACUGACGGAAAGCAGUGCGGGGAAGAGACGGCGUCACGAGGAAGGAGAAGGAGCGCGCGGGCCAUCCCUGGGGAAAGAAAGGAGGAGGCCCAAGAGGAAGGAGGGAGGAAGCCCACCUACCUCUCGGCCUGUUAGCUAAAACGAAAAGGGUUUUUCUCUUUUAUUUAAAAUCACACCACAAAAGAAAAUGCCUAGAGUCCAACUUGCACAAUAAAAACAAAAUAAAAAUACUCUGGGCAUUAGGGAAUUAUGCCCUAAUAAAAUAAAAAGGAAAACUGAAUUUUCAAGCAAAUAAAAUAUAAAUGGAAAACAGGGUUUUCCUUACUAUUUUGAACAAAA